rnacentral:rRNA from 1 species
UCAAGUGAAGAAGCGCAUACGGUGGAUGCCUUGGCAGUCAGAGGCGAUGAAAGACGUGGUAGCCUGCGAUAAGCUUUGGGGAGUCGGCAAACAGACUGUGAUCCAGAGAUCUCUGAAUGGGGGAACCCACUCAGCACAAGCUGAGUAUCUUGUACUGAAUACAUAGGUGCAAGAGGCGAACCAGGGGAACUGAAACAUCUAAGUACCCUGAGGAAAAGAAAUCAACCGAGAUUCCCUUAGUAGUGGCGAGCGAACGGGGACCAGCCCUUAAGUUGGUUUGAGAUUAGUGGAACGCUCUGGAAAGUGCGGCCAUAGUGGGUGAUAGCCCCGUACACGAAAAUCUCUUAUCAAUGAAAUCGAGUAGGACGGAGCACGAGAAACUUUGUCUGAAUAUGGGGGGACCAUCCUCCAAGGCUAAAUACUACUGACUGACCGAUAGUGAACCAGUACCGUGAGGGAAAGGCGAAAAGAACCCCGGAGAGGGGAGUGAAAUAGAACCUGAAACCGUAUGCGUACAAGCAGUGGGAGCCUACUUUGUUAGGUGACUGCGUACCUUUUGUAUAAUGGGUCAGCGACUUAUAUUCAGUGGCGAGCUUAACCGAAUAGGGGAGGCGUAGCGAAAGCGAGUCUUAAUAGGGCGUUUAGUCGCUGGGUAUAGACCCGAAACCGGGCGAUCUAUCCAUGGGCAGGUUGAAGGUUAGGUAACACUGACUGGAGGACCGAACCGACUACCGUUGAAAAGUUAGCGGAUGACCUGUGGAUCGGAGUGAAAGGCUAAUCAAGCUCGGAGAUAGCUGGUUCUCCUCGAAAGCUAUUUAGGUAGCGCCUCAUGUAUCACUGUAGGGGGUAGAGCACUGUUUCGGCUAGGGGGUCAUCCCGACUUACCAAACCGAUGCAAACUCCGAAUACCUACAAGUGCCGAGCAUGGGAGACACACGGCGGGUGCUAACGUCCGUCGUGAAAAGGGAAACAACCCAGACCGUCAGCUAAGGUCCCAAAGUCAUGGUUAAGUGGGAAACGAUGUGGGAAGGCUUAGACAGCUAGGAGGUUGGCUUAGAAGCAGCCACCCUUUAAAGAAAGCGUAAUAGCUCACUAGUCGAGUCGGCCUGCGCGGAAGAUGUAACGGGGCUCAAACCAUGCACCGAAGCUACGGGUGUCAUCUUUGAUGACGCGGUAGAGGAGCGUUCUGUAAGCCUGUGAAGGUGAGUUGAGAAGCUUGCUGGAGGUAUCAGAAGUGCGAAUGCUGACAUGAGUAACGACAAUGCGAGGGAAAAACUCGCACGCCGAAAGACCAAGGUUUCAUGCGCAACGUUAAUCGAAGCAGGGUUAGUCGGUCCCUAAGGCGAGGCUGAAAAGCGUAGUCGAUGGAAAACAGGUUAAUAUUCCUGUACUUCCAGUUAUUGCGAUGGAGGGACGGAGAAGGUUAGGCCAGCCUGGCGUUGGUUGUCCAGGUUUAAGGUGGUAGGCUGAAAUCUUAGGCAAAUCCGGGAUUUCAAGGCCGAGAGCUGAUGACGAGUUGCCUUUAGGCGACGAAGUGGUUGAUACCAUGCUUCCAAGAAAAGCUCCUAAGCUUCAGAUAACUGGGAACCGUACCCCAAACCGACACAGGUGGUUAGGUAGAGAAUACCAAGGCGCUUGAGAGAACUCGGGUGAAGGAACUAGGCAAAAUGGCACCGUAACUUCGGGAGAAGGUGCGCCGGCGAGGGUGAAGGACUUGCUCCGUAAGCCCAUGCCGGUCGAAGAUACCAGGCCGCUGCGACUGUUUAUUAAAAACACAGCACUCUGCAAACACGAAAGUGGACGUAUAGGGUGUGACGCCUGCCCGGUGCCGGAAGGUUAAUUGAUGGGGUUAGCGCAAGCGAAGCUCUUGAUCGAAGCCCCGGUAAACGGCGGCCGUAACUAUAACGGUCCUAAGGUAGCGAAAUUCCUUGUCGGGUAAGUUCCGACCUGCACGAAUGGCGUAACGAUGGCGGCGCUGUCUCCACCCGAGACUCAGUGAAAUUGAAAUCGCUGUGAAGAUGCAGUGUAUCCGCGGCUAGACGGAAAGACCCCGUGAACCUUUACUAUAGCUUUGCACUGGACUUUGAAUUUGCUUGUGUAGGAUAGGUGGGAGGCUUUGAAGUGGGGACGCCAGUUCUCAUGGAGCCAUCCUUGAAAUACCACCCUGGCAACUUUGAGGUUCUAACUCAGGUCCGUUAUCCGGAUCGAGGACAGUGUAUGGUGGGUAGUUUGACUGGGGCGGUCUCCUCCCAAAGAGUAACGGAGGAGUACGAAGGUGCGCUCAGACCGGUCGGAAAUCGGUCGUAGAGUAUAAAGGCAAAAGCGCGCUUGACUGCGAGACAAACACGUCGAGCAGGUACGAAAGUAGGUCUUAGUGAUCCGGUGGUUCUGUAUGGAAGGGCCAUCGCUCAACGGAUAAAAGGUACUCCGGGGAUAACAGGCUGAUACCGCCCAAGAGUUCAUAUCGACGGCGGUGUUUGGCACCUCGAUGUC